GGGUGAGUAACACGUGGAUAACCUACCUAUAAGACUGGGAUAACUUCGGGAAACCGGAGCUAAUACCGGAUAAUAUUUUGAACCGCAUGGUUCAAAAGUGAAAGACGGUCUUGCUGUCACUUAUAGAUGGAUCCGCGCUGCAUUAGCUAGUUGGUAAGGUAACGGCUUACCAAGGCAACGAUGCAUAGCCGACCUGAGAGGGUGAUCGGCCACACUGGAACUGAGACACGGUCCAGACUCCUACGGGAGGCAGCAGUAGGGAAUCUUCCGCAAUGGGCGAAAGCCUGACGGAGCAACGCCGCGUGAGUGAUGAAGGUCUUCGGAUCGUAAAACUCUGUUAUUAGGGAAGAACAUAUGUGUAAGUAACUGUGCACAUCUUGACGGUACCUAAUCAGAAAGCCACGGCUAACUACGUGCCAGCAGCCGCGGUAAUACGUAGGUGGCAAGCGUUAUCCGGAAUUAUUGGGCGUAAAGCGCGCGUAGGCGGUUUUUUAAGUCUGAUGUGAAAGCCCACGGCUCAACCGUGGAGGGUCAUUGGAAACUGGAAAACUUGAGUGCAGAAGAGGAAAGUGGAAUUCCAUGUGUAGCGGUGAAAUGCGCAGAGAUAUGGAGGAACACCAGUGGCGAAGGCGACUUUCUGGUCUGUAACUGACGCUGAUGUGCGAAAGCGUGGGGAUCAAACAGGAUUAGAUACCCUGGUAGUCCACGCCGUAAACGAUGAGUGCUAAGUGUUA
rnacentral:rRNA from 1 species